CCUACGGGAGGCAGCAGUGGGGAAUAUUGCACAAUGGGGGAAACCCUGAUGCAGCGACGCCGCGUGGGUGACGAAGUAUUUCGGUAUGUACAGCCCUAUCAGCAGGGAAGAAGAUGACAGUACCGGACUAAGAAGCCACGGCUAAGUACGUGCCAGGAGCCGCGGAAAUACGUAGGGGGCAAUAGUGAUCCGGAUUUACUGGGUGUAAAGGGAGCGUAGGUGGCAUGGCAAGCCAGAAGUGAAAAACCGGGGCUUCACCCCGCAGAUUGCUUUUGGAACUGUCAGGCUGGAGUGCAGGAGGGGCAGGCGGAAUUCCUGGUGUAGCGGUGAACUGCGUAGAUAUCAGGAGGAACACCGGUGGCGAAGGCGGCCUGCUGGACUGUAACUGACACUGAGGCUCGAAAGCGUGGGGAGCAAACAGGAUUAGAUACCCUUGUAGUC
rnacentral:rRNA from 1 species